rnacentral:rRNA from 1 species
UCAACGCGGGACCUGCGUGCGCGGUCAUCCGGAGGAUCAAAGGGUUUUCCGGAAUUACUUGGCGUAAAGAGUUGCGUAGUUGGCAGAGUAAGUUGAUAUGGAAAGCGUCCGGCUCAACCGGAUAUCCAUGAUCAAAACUGUGCAGCUAUAGGACGAGAGAGGUUAUUGGAAUUCCUAGUGUAGGGUUAAAAUUCGUUGAUAUUAGGAGGAACACCGAUGGCGUAGGCAGAUAACUGGCUCGUUCCUGACACUAAGGCACGAAAGCGUGGGUAGCAAACAGGAUUAGAUACCCGUGUAGUC